GCAAGUCGAACGGAAACGAUGGAAGCUUGCUUCCAGGCGUCGAGUGGCGGACGGGUGAGUAAUACUUAGGAAUCUGCCCAGUAGUGGGGGACAACUCGAGGAAACUCGAGCUAAUACCGCAUACGCCCCAAGGGGGAAAGCGGGGGAUCUUCGGACCUCGCGCUAUUGGAUGAGCCUAAGUCGGAUUAGCUUGUUGGUGGGGUAAAGGCCUACCAAGGCGACGAUCCGUAGCUGGUCUGAGAGGACGAUC
rnacentral:rRNA from 1 species